AUGUGGCGUAUGAGUUCUGAAAACAACACUUCCACGAUGAAGAUGAAAGAUGAAGCUAUCACCAUGGCAACAGAAACUGUGGCAGCUACAAGAUCAUCAUCAUGUUGUUGUUUGAUGACAAAACUGAUGAGAAAAGUACUCAAGAGAUCACGUAGCCGAAUCAGACAAGGUUCGUUUCAAUGUCACUACGACCCUUUGAGCUAUUCUUUGAAUUUUGACACAAGUGAUUGUGGAAGCUUAUUGGAUGAGGAUUAUUAUUAUAAGUUCUGUGCAUUUUCUUCAAGGUUUGUAGCAAAUCCAACCACUUCACGUCCUGUUCUUCAAGUAGCUUCGGGGAACUCUCAAUAG